rnacentral:rRNA from 1 species
UACGUAGGUGGCAAGCGUUUGUCCGGAAUUAUUGGGCGUAAAGCGCGCGCAGGCGGUCCUUUAAGUCUGAUGUGAAAGCCCUCGGCUCAACCGAGGAGGGUCAUUGGAAACUGGAGGACUUGAGUGCAGAAGAGGAAAGUGGAAUUCCAAGUGUAGCGGUGAAAUGCGUAGAGAUUUGGAGGAACACCAGUGGCGAAGGCGACUUUCUGGUCUGUAACUGACACUGAGGCGCGAAAGCGUGGGGAGCGAACAGG